AGAGACGCAUGUUAUAUAGAUAGCCAGUGUUACAGGGACGGUGACCGAAGUCUUCUUGAUCCCAAUCUCGUUUGUUGUCCAUCAGAUUCUAGCUAUCAGUGGACGGAUCAGCAAGACUGCAUACCUCCAACCAGCAACCAGGGAAACGGCGAUGGAAGUAACAAGCUUGGUAUUAUAGCAGUGUCUGUAUCAGUGUCAGGGAUAUUGGUAGUUGCCUGUGUAGUGGUAUUUGCCAUUUGGACAUACAAAAAUAAAAAGCGUACCGUGUCUACAACAUGUGCGGAUCCUCCUAAAUGUCCCGAUUACACCCAAAGUGGAGGAAAAGCAGUAAUUCAACCUAGACAUCCAGAUGUCUUCACUACCGAUUAUGAGCAGCUAAGAAAAUAAGUGACACCAAUACGAGGAAAUAAGAAUUUAUAACGCCGUACAAGGAAUUAAACAUAAUCC